rnacentral:rRNA from 1 species
UUGAACGCUGGCGGCAUGCUUUACACAUGCAAGUCGAACGGUAGACCCUUUCGGGGGUUGAGAGUGGCGAACGGGUGAGUAAUGCAUCGGAACAUACCCAGUCGUGGGGGAUAACGUAGCGAAAGUUACGCUAAUACCGCAUGAGUCCUGAGGGAGAAAGCGGGGGAUCGCAAGACCUCGCGCGAUUGGAGUGGCCGAUGUCAGAUUAGCUAGUUGGUGGGGUAAAGGCCUACCAAGGCGACGAUCUGUAGCGGGUCUGAGAGGAUGAUCCGCCACACUGGGACUGAGACACGGCCCAGACUCCUACGGGAGGCAGCAGUGGGGAAUUUUGGACAAUGGGCGAAAGCCUGAUCCAGCCAUGCCGCGUGCGGGAAGAAGGCCUUCGGGUUGUAAACCGCUUUCAGCCGGAAAGAAAUCGCCACUUCUAAUACGAGUGGUGGAUGACGGUACCGGAAGAAGAAGCACCGGCUAACUACGU